rnacentral:rRNA from 1 species
UACCUGCAGUCGAACGGUGAAGGUGGGAGCUUGCUCCUGCUGGAUCAGUGGCGAACGGGUGAGUAACACGUGAGUAACCUGCCCUUGACUCUGGGAUAAGCGUUGGAAACGACGUCUAAUACCGGAUACGAGCUUCAGCCGCAUGGCUAGGAGUUGGAAAGAAUUUCGGUCAAGGAUGGACUCGCGGCCUAUCAGCUUGUUGGUGAGGUAAUGGCUCACCAAGGCGACGACGGGUAGCCGGCCUGAGAGGGUGACCGGCCACACUGGGACUGAGACACGGCCCAGACUCCUACGGGAGGCAGCAGUGGGGAAUAUUGCACAAUGGGCGCAAGCCUGAUGCAGCAACGCCGCGUGAGGGACGACGGCCUUCGGGUUGUAAACCUCUUUUAGCAGGGAAGAAGCGAAAGUGACGGUACCUGCAGAAAAAGCACCGGCUAACUACGUGCCAGCAGCCGCGGUAAUACGUAGGGUGCAAGCGUUGUCCGGAAUUAUUGGGCGUAAAGAGCUCGUAGGCGGUUUGUCGCGUCUGCUGUGAAAACGCGAGGCUCAACCUCGCGCCUGCAGUGGGUACGGGCAGACUAGAGUGCGGUAGGGGAGAUUGGAAUUCCUGGUGUAGCGGUGGAAUGCGCAGAUAUCAGGAGGAACACCGAUGGCGAAGGCAGAUCUCUGGGCCGUAACUGACGCUGAGGAGCGAAAGCGUGGGGAGCGAACAGGAUUAGAUACCCUGGUAGUCCACGCCGUAAACGUUGGGAACUAGAUGUAGGGACCAUUCCACGGUUUCUGUGUCGCAGCUAACGCAUUAAGUUCCCCGCCUGGGGAGUACGGUCGCAAGA